UAGUGUUUCUUUCACUCUGUUCUGUCUACAAAACCCUAGUGAAAACUGCCCCAGCAGAGCACGAGCACUCCUGGCUGGGAGCAUAAUCGGAGGCAGUGCCCGGUCCUUCCCUCCCUGGCAUUCUGAGGUCUCUGCUUCUGCCUCCCACCCAAAGCCCCAGGGAGGGCAGUGCCUGAACAGACAUCUCUUUGGGGAAGCAUCUGGGGGGUGCACUCGGGGCCCACAGCAA